GACGAACGCUGGCGGCGCGCCUAACACAUGCAAGUCGAACGAGCGAGAGAGAGCUUGCUUUCUUGAGCGAGUGGCGAACGGGUGAGUAACGCGUGAGGAACCUGCCUCAAAGAGGGGGACAACAGUUGGAAACGACUGCUAAUACCGCAUAAGCCCACGACCCGGCAUCGGGUUGAGGGAAAAGGAGCAAUCCGCUUUGUGAUGGCCUCGCGUCCGAUUAGCUAGUUGGUGAGGUAACGGCCCACCAAGGCGACGAUCGGUAGCCGGACUGAGAGGUUGAACGGCCACAUUGGGACUGAGACACGGCCCAGACUCCUACGGGAGGCAGCAGUGGGGAAUAUUGCACAAUGGGGGAAACCCUGAUGCAGCGACGCCGCGUGGAGGAAGAAGGUCUUCGGAUUGUAAACUCCUGUUGUUGAGGAAGAUAAUGACGGUACUCAACAAGGAAGUGACGGCUAACUACGU
rnacentral:rRNA from 1 species